rnacentral:lncRNA from 1 species
UUAAUAAAUUCACUAAAAUAUUUAUUUGAUGGUUUUGAAGGGUUUCCCUUGUUAGUUAUUCUUUAUCCUGUACUUCUUGUGUGGACCUGGACAAACAAGAGAAAUGGAAUCACAGUGAGGGGAAGAAGUAGGGAAUAACAAAGAUGACCACCCGAAAGCAGAAAAAGCAGCAGGAGAGGGCAACUGCAUGCAAAUCUAUUUUGCAUUGAGAAUAAUUAUUCUGCUCACAAAGCAGCACCGGCUCGGAGACAAAGCUGAGACUUCUAACACUUGACUACAGUAGUCUUCCAAGCCAACUGAAAGUAAAGUUCUGCAUCAAAUGCUAAUUCAGAAAGGAGGAAUAUGAGGUACAGAUGAAACUGAAUUAGUUGUUUUCAAACUUAUUUUUCAGUGGUUUUAUUUUGGUAAUUAAUAUUGAAAACUGACAGAGGAAUUAGGAAACAUAAGCUGGUCACAGUCAUAUAUUUAGAUUAUUUCCAAAUAGAACCCUUAGAUUCUCAAUGUCAUUAAGCUGUAAAACCUCAAAUUGUGAUUAUGGUUUUUGUGAGUUUGAUGUUCAUAUUAAUGUUCC